UCUCUCUGAAUCUGCGUACGGCUCAUUAUAUCAGUUAUUGUUUAUUUGAUAGUGUUCCUACUUGGAUAACCGUAGUAAUUCUAGAGCUAAUACAUGCGUCAACUCCCAACUGCUUGUCGGACGGGAUGUAUUUAUUAGAUUGAAACCAAUCCGGGGAAACCUGGUGUUGUGGUGAAUCAUGAUAACUUUGCGGAUCGCACGGCCUCGCGCCGGCGACGAAUCAUUCAAGUUUCUGCCCUAUCAGCUUUGGAUGGUAGGGUAUUGGCCUACCAUGGCUCUAACGGGUAACGGAGAAUUGGGGUUCGAUUCCUGGAGAGUGGGCCUGAGAGAUUGUUAG
rnacentral:rRNA from 1 species